rnacentral:rRNA from 1 species
GAUGAACGCUGGCGGCGUGCCUAACACAUGCAAGUCGAACGGAGUCCAGCCUUUAAGACCUUCGGGGCAAAGAGGGGAAGACUGAGUGGCGGACGGGAGAAUAACACGUGGGCAACCUGGCUCAUAGAGGGGGAUAACAGAGAGAAAUUUCUGCUAAUACCGCAUAAGCACACACUGCCGCAUGGCAGAGGGUGAAAAGAGAAUCGCUAUGAGAUGGACCCGCGUCUGAUUAGCCAGUUGGCAGGGUAAGAGCCUACCAAAGCGACGAUCAGUAGCCGAUCGGAGAGGAUGAACGGCCGCAUUGGGACUGAGACACGGACCAAACCCGUACGGGGGGCAGCAGUGGGUGAUACUGCACAAUGGGGGGAACCCUGAUGACGCGACGCCGCGUGAGUGAAGAAGUGGUUCGGUAUGUAAAUCUAGCACAGCAGGGAAGAUAGUGACGGUACCUGAAUAAGAAGCCCCGGCUAACUACGUG